rnacentral:rRNA from 1 species
UGGGGAAUAUUGGACAAUGGGCGGAAGCCUGAUCCAGCAACGCCGCGUGGGGGAUGACGGCCUUCGGGUUGUAAACCUCUUUCAGCACUGGCGAAGCCUUUCGGGGUGACGGUAGGUGCAGAAGAAGGACCGGCCAACUACGUGCCAGCAGCCGCGGUAAUACGUAGGGUCCGAGCGUUGUCCGGAAUUAUUGGGCGUAAAGGGCUCGUAGGUGGUUUGUCGCGUCGGGAGUGAAAUCUUACGGCUUAACUGUGAGUGGGCUUUCGAUACGGGCAGGCUAGAGGGAUGCAGGGGAGAAUGGAAUUCCUGGUGUAGCGGUGGAAUGCGCAGAUAUCAGGAGGAACACCGGUGGCGAAGGCGGUUCUCUGGGCAUUUCCUGACGCUGAGGAGCGAAAGCAUGGGGAGCGAACAGG